rnacentral:rRNA from 1 species
UACGUAGGGUGCAAGCGUUAAUCGGAAUUACUGGGCGUAAAGCGUGCGCAGGCGGUUUUGUAAGUCUGUCGUGAAAUCCCCGGGCUCAACCUGGGAAUUGCGAUGGAGACUGCAAGGCUAGAAUCUGGCAGAGGGGGGUAGAAUUCCACGUGUGAGCAGUGAAAAUGCGUAGAGAUGUGGAGGAACACCGAUGGCGAAGGCAGCCCCCUGGGUCAAGAUUGACGCUCCAUGCACGAAAGCGUGGGGAGCAAACAGGGAUUACGAA